rnacentral:misc_RNA from 1 species
AAUUUGGCAAUCCUCCUCCUCCCAAUACUUCAAUAUUCAAUCAUGGCACUUCUAUAUAUAUUGUACACAAUUGCAGCAAGCAUUUCGGGUAGAACACUCAAGUGCUCAAUGCACAUAAUACACCAUUAAAGUUCAACAUUUACUUCAACCCAAAUUCAAUGUACAUCAACACUUAUAUUACACAUACACUUCCAUAGCAAUUACACAAACUGCCCACCAUUUAACACCAUCAUAUUUAAUUAAUAAAUUUCAUAAAAUCACACACAAAUUCAUGAUAUUUAAGGCUGCCCAACAUGGCAGUUUACUAAAGCAUCAAAGUCCCAUUUUUAAACCCUUAAUUCAAGCACUAACAUACACAUAC